rnacentral:rRNA from 1 species
AUGAACGCUAGCGGCAGGCUUAACACAUGCAAGUCGAGGGGCAGCAUAAUGGAUAGCAAUAUCUAUGGUGGCGACCGGCGCACGGGUGCGUAACGCGUAUGCAACCUACCUUUAACAGGGGGAUAACACUGAGAAAUUGGUACUAAUACCCCAUAAUAUCAUAGAAGGCAUCUUUUAUGGUUGAAAAUUCCGAUGGUUAGAGAUGGGCAUGCGUUGUAUUAGCUAGUUGGUGGGGUAACGGCUCACCAAGGCGACGAUACAUAGGGGGACUGAGAGGUUAACCCCCCACACUGGUACUGAGACACGGACCAGACUCCUACGGGAGGCAGCAGUGAGGAAUAUUGGUCAAUGGACGCAAGUCUGAACCAGCCAUGCCGCGUGCAGGAUGACGGCUCUAUGAGUUGUAAACUGCUUUUGUACGAGGGUAAACGCAGAUACGUGUAUCUGUCUGAAAGUAUCGUACGAAUAAGGAUCGGCUAACUCCGUGCCAGCAGCCGCGGUAAUACGGAGGAUUCAAGCGUUAUCCGGAUUUAUUGGGUUUAAAGGGUGCGUAGGCGGUUUGAUAAGUUAGAGGUGAAAUUUCGGGGCUCAACCCUGAACGUGCCUCUAAUACUGUUGAGCUAGAGAGUAGUUGCGGUAGGCGGAAUGUAUGGUGUAGCGGUGAAAUGCUUAGAGAUCAUACAGAACACCGAUUGCGAAGGCAGCUUACCAAACUAUAUCUGACGUUGAGGCACGAAAGCGUGGGGAGCAAACAGGAUUAGAUACCCUGGUAGUCCACGCAGUAAACGAUGAUAACUCGUUGUCGGCGAUACACAGUCGGUGACUAAGCGAAAGCGAUAAGUUAUCCACCUGGGGAGUACGUUCGCAAGAAUGAAACUCAAAGGAAUUGACGGGGGCCCGCACAAGCGGAGGAACAUGUGGUUUAAUUCGAUGAUACGCGAGGAACCUUACCCGGGCUUGAAUUGCAACUGAAUGAUGUGGAGACAUGUCAGCCGCAAGGCAGUUGUGAAGGUGCUGCAUGGUUGUCGUCAGCUCGUGUCGUGAGAUGUUGGGUUAAGUCCCGCAACGAGCGCAACCCCUAUUGUUAGUUGCCAUCAUUCAGUUGGGCACUCUAGCGAGACUGCCGGUAAUAAACCGGAGGAAGGUGGGGAUGACGUCAAAUCAGCACGGCCCUUACGUCCGGGGCUACACACGUGUUACAAUGGUAGGUACAGAGGGCAGCUACCUAGCGAUGGGAUGCGAAUCUCGAAAGCCUAUCUCAGUUCGGAUUGGAGGCUGAAACCCGCCUCCAUGAAGUUGGAUUCGCUAGUAAUCGCGCAUCAGCCAUGGCGCGGUGAAUACGUUCCCGGGCCUUGUACACACCGCCCGUCACACCACGAGAGUUUGUAACACCCGAAGUCGGUGAGGUAACCUUUUGGAGCCAGCCGCCUAAGGUGGGACAGAUGAUUGGGGUG